CAUAUCAGGUGACGCCGCCUACGAAAUUCAAACCUUCAACAGUCCAGUUUAGAAGCCCAGAUCCAAAUUCCCACAAAAUAUCUUGUCUUCCUCGACCCCACACUUGGUAUCUUUACUCUAUUGCAAAUUUUUGUGCUCGAAAGUGCGAUGAAGAACUGGAAAAUGAGACGAAACCGCGUAGCUCCACCGCCUUAUGCAAAAAUUCCUGAUUUUUUCUCUUCCCUUUUUCUUUUCUUUAUUUGGAUUUUGUCUGGGGAUGGGCAAUACCUAUAUAUACCUCAGCCCCACCCACAUUUUUGCCGAUCAUUUCUCCGCGUUCCGAUAUUUUUUCCCCUGCUUCGAAAAUCUUGCCAUUUGAGCCAAAACCGUAAUGAACCCUGAUGACCGCCCUCGCACUCUUCCAAUGCCCUGUUUUCCUUCCGGUGACGAACCACCUGUUACGGUGGUGUUCCCAACUCCGCCGCCAUUUCCUUUCUCGACAGAGUCUCUGUCUCUAGAACCGCCGCCAUUCUCUCCUUUGAUGAACUUCGAGUCGUUUGAGGCCCAAUUUGAGUCCAAACCGGACUUCGGGGAGAGUCUAGUGAGUGCCCCUCAGCCGUUGGAGUCUCUGUAUGAAACUCCAAUUCCGCCGUUUCUGAGCAAGACGUUUGAUUUGGUGGAUGAUCCUUCGUUGGAUAAGAUCAUUGCUUGGGGUGCAAGAGGCGAUAGCUUUGUGGUGUGGGAUCCUGUUGAAUUUGCCAGGAUGGUCUUACCAAGAUAUUUCAAGCACAACAAUUUCUCCAGUUUUGUGCGUCAGCUCAAUACAUAUGGAUUUCGCAAAAUUGAUGCAGAUAAGUGGGAGUUUGCAAAUGAGGGAUUCUUGAGAGGGCAGAGGCAUCUGUUGAAAAAUAUCCGAAGGCGCAAAUCGUUACAUCCUCAGCAUACUGGAAGCUCGUCUGGAUUGUCUGAUGAGGCAGGCAGAGUUGAAUUGGGAGGUGAAAUGGAACAUCUGAGGAAAGAGAGGCAUUCGAUGAUGCAGGAGGUGGUUGAAUUGCAGCAUCAGCAGCGUGGUACAGUUAAGCAUAUGGAAAUGGUUAACGAGAAGCUCCAGACAGCAGAGAAAAGGCAGAAACAGAUGGUCUCAUUCUUAGGAAAGAUCUUUCAGAACCCAGCUUUUCUAACUCGCUUUCAGCAGAUGAGGCAACAAAAAAGCCUCACCUCCCCAAGAACGACGAGGAAAUUUGUGAAACAUCAAGCGCACGAAUCUGGUACGUCUGAUUCAUCCCCCAAACGGCAGAUUGUGAGCUGCCAAGAUGAGCUUGGCAAUCCUUUCAUGCCCAAACAACUUCCCUGUCCUCCCUUGCAAGGUAUGAUGGGAGACGUGCCAUUUGGGAUUGACGAUACUUCACUAAGUGAAUACGCAAGGAUGGAUGAAUUCCUCAGUGAACCAGAGUCCAGCGAAGCAGUUCUUAAAGGCAAGGGUGUUGUUGCAGGUGCCGAAUAUUUCAUGACGUUUCCAGAGGACUUUGUGGAGGAGAAGACGCCUCCUGAAUUCUCAACCGCAGAAACUCAGACUAUGGCUGUUGAGGAGGGUCUUUGGAGCACGGGAUUUGGAGCAAGUGCCGGUAUGUCUAGUUCCACUGAGUUGUGGGGUAAUGUUAGCAGUCACGACACGCCAGAAAUAUCAGAUGUUUGGAACAUAGGUUCACUGCAGAGAGCAGGAAGUUGGGGAAUUGACAAGUGGUUGAACCAAGACUCUCCCUUUAGUGAGUUAGAUAACGAAGGCCAACAAAAUAGAGAUGAUUAUUCUAAGAAGUUGGAUCCAUGAGAUUUCUCUUGGAUCCUUCUUCAUAGUAUAGUUAAAUUCAUUUGAUGGACCAUAAAUAAUAGUAUCAUCAUUAUUAUUGACUACUACUUUUUAGCAUUUGAUCAUUGGGCCUCAAUCAUUUUCCCAUAUUCAUUGUUGUUUCAUUUUUUUUGUUUCUCAUGUUAUGCAACAGUUAUGAGCUUUUGCAUAAUCCUACUAACUGUUUUAAGCUGUGGGCGCAUGGGCAAGCACACACGAGAGGGCACGAGAAGAUGCUUCCGCAACACUCUUUACCACUGAUAAGCUGUGAACAGAAUCUGCAGUAUUGAGGCAAGCAAACUUGGAGAGGAGAAAUCCAAAGCAGAAAACAGGGGAUCAAUUAUCCAUCGACCCAUGUAUCUUUGUGCAGAUUGUGUUUACACGAUAUUGAAAUCAUGUUUGAUUGACGCAUGUAUUUUCGUUGGUAUGUUGAAGAAUGAGAAACUGAUUUAUUGAUUAUGAAGGUUUGGUCAUGUAACA